rnacentral:rRNA from 1 species
AUGCGCGGCCGUCGAGAAUGCCACGACGCUGAGGCGGUCAGCAGGGCCGAGCUGGUCGACGAUGAACUCCAUAGCCUUCUUCAGCAGCGCGAUCUUGUGUCCCGCCAUGCUGCCGAUGACGUCGAGCACGGUGACGAGGUCGAGCGGCGCGCGUGUCUGCGCCGCCGCUGCGGUGACGGCACAGGGGCCUUGGCAUGGACCAGCACCACGAAGUUUUCGUGCGGCUUGCCUCUGGCGACGGCCGGGUGCUCGCAGUGGGCAUCGAGGACGAGCUUGCCUCCGCCGUUGGCCGCGUCGUGGACGAGAUCCCAGUCGUCCAGCGGCGCCCCCUGCGCCGGAGGCUCCACCGGCUCGUCGUCGUCGUACACGGCGCGGUCAGGGAGAUACAUGGGCGAUGGCUGGUGCAUGAAGGGAGGGAACAGCGCCGGCCCCGGCGGCGGAGCGUAG